rnacentral:rRNA from 1 species
GGACGAACGCUGGCGGCGUGCCUAAUACAUGCAAGUCGAGCGAGGAGCUUUUAGCUCCUAGCGGCGAACGGGUGAGUAACACGUGGGCAACCUGCCCGUAAGACUGGGAUAACUUCGGGAAACCGGAGCUAAUACUGGAUAAUCUUGAUCUUCGCAUGAAGGACAAGUAAAAGAUUUAUCACUUACGGAUGGGCCCGCGGUGCAUUAGCUUGUUGGUGGGGUAAUGGCCUACCAAGGCGACGAUGCAUAGCCGACCUGAGAGGGUGACCGGCCACACUGGGACUGAGACACGGCCCAGACUCCUACGGGAGGCAGCAGUAGGGAAUUUUCCGCAAUGGGCGAAAGCCUGACGGAGCAACGCCGCGUGAAUGAUGACGGCCUUCGGGUUGUAAAAUUCUGUUCUAAGGGAAGAAGUUCUGACGGUACCUUAGGAGAAAGCCACGGCUAACUAC